rnacentral:lncRNA from 1 species
CUUCGACUUUGCUCAUGUUAGGACGAAGUUCUCCUCUUGUUCCUAAUAUGGCUGUGGAAGCACAUAAGGGCCAUUGCGAGGGCCUCUCCCUCCAUCCGGUCUCUUAAUAACCGGACCUUCGACUUUGCUCAUGUUAGGAUGAGGUUCUCCUCCUGUUCCUAACAUGGCUGUGGGGGCACAUAAGGGCCGUUGCGAGGGCCUCU